rnacentral:rRNA from 1 species
GGUUAAGCGACUAAGCGUACACGGUGGAUGCCCUGGCAGUCAGAGGCGAUGAAGGACGUGCUAAUCUGCGAUAAGCGUCGGUAAGGUGAUAUGAACCGUUAUAACCGGCGAUUUCCGAAUGGGGAAACCCAGUGUGAUUCGUCACACUAUCAUUAACUGAAUCCAUAGGUUAAUGAGGCGAACCGGGGGAACUGAAACAUCUAAGUACCCCGAGGAAAAGAAAUCAACCGAGAUUCCCCCAGUAGCGGCGAGCGAACGGGGAGCAGCCCAGAGCCUGAAUCAGUGUGUGUGUUAGUGGAAGCGUCUGGAAAGACGCGCGAUACAGGGUGACAGCCCCGUACACAAAAAUGCACAUGCUGUGAGCUCGAUGAGUAGGGCGGGACACGUGGUAUCCUGUCUGAAUAUGGGGGGACCAUCCUCCAAGGCUAAAUACUCCUGACUGACCGAUAGUGAACCAGUACCGUGAGGGAAAGGCGAAAAGAACCCCGGCGAGGGGAGUGAAAAAGAACCUGAAACCGUGUACGUACAAGCAGUGGGAGCACGCUUAGGCGUGUGACUGCGUACCUUUUGUAUAAUGGGUCAGCGACUUAUAUUCUGUAGCAAGGUUAACCGAAUAGGGGAGCCGAAGGGAAACCGAGUCUUAACUGGGCGUUAAGUUGCAGGGUAUAGACCCGAAACCCGGUGAUCUAGCCAUGGGCAGGUUGAAGGUUGGGUAACACUAACUGGAGGACCGAACCGACUAAUGUUGAAAAAUUAGCGGAUGACUUGUGGCUGGGGGUGAAAGGCCAAUCAAACCGGGAGAUAGCUGGUUCUCCCCGAAAGCUAUUUAGGUAGCGCCUCGUGAAUUCAUCUCCGGGGGUAGAGCACUGUUUCGGCAAGGGGGUCAUCCCGACUUACCAACCCGAUGCAAACUGCGAAUACCGGAGAAUGUUAUCACGGGAGACACACGGCGGGUGCUAACGUCCGUCGUGAAGAGGGAAACAACCCAGACCGCCAGCUAAGGUCCCAAAGUCAUGGUUAAGUGGGAAACGAUGUGGGAAGGCCCAGACAGCCAGGAUGUUGGCUUAGAAGCAGCCAUCAUUUAAAGAAAGCGUAAUAGCUCACUGGUCGAGUCGGCCUGCGCGGAAGAUGUAACGGGGCUAAACCAUGCACCGAAGCUGCGGCAGCGACGCUUAUGCGUUGUUGGGUAGGGGAGCGUUCUGUAAGCCUGUGAAGGUGUACUGUGAGGUAUGCUGGAGGUAUCAGAAGUGCGAAUGCUGACAUAAGUAACGAUAAAGCGGGUGAAAAGCCCGCUCGCCGGAAGACCAAGGGUUCCUGUCCAACGUUAAUCGGGGCAGGGUGAGUCGACCCCUAAGGCGAGGCCGAAAGGCGUAGUCGAUGGGAAACAGGUUAAUAUUCCUGUACUUGGUGUUACUGCGAAGGGGGGACGGAGAAGGCUAUGUUGGCCGGGCGACGGUUGUCCCGGUUUAAGCGUGUAGGCUGGUUUUCCAGGCAAAUCCGGAAAAUCAAGGCUGAGGCGUGAUGACGAGGCACUACGGUGCUGAAGCAACAAAUGCCCUGCUUCCAGGAAAAGCCUCUAAGCAUCAGGUAACAUCAAAUCGUACCCCAAACCGACACAGGUGGUCAGGUAGAGAAUACCAAGGCGCUUGAGAGAACUCGGGUGAAGGAACUAGGCAAAAUGGUGCCGUAACUUCGGGAGAAGGCACGCUGAUAUGUAGGUGAAGUCCCUCGCGGAUGGAGCUGAAAUCAGUCGAAGAUACCAGCUGGCUGCAACUGUUUAUUAAAAACACAGCACUGUGCAAACACGAAAGUGGACGUAUACGGUGUGACGCCUGCCCGGUGCCGGAAGGUUAAUUGAUGGGGUUAGCGCAAGCGAAGCUCUUGAUCGAAGCCCCGGUAAACGGCGGCCGUAACUAUAACGGUCCUAAGGUAGCGAAAUUCCUUGUCGGGUAAGUUCCGACCUGCACGAAUGGCGUAAUGAUGGCCAGGCUGUCUCCACCCGAGACUCAGUGAAAUUGAACUCGCUGUGAAGAUGCAGUGUACCCGCGGCAAGACGGAAAGACCCCGUGAACCUUUACUAUAGCUUGACACUGAACAUUGAGCCUUGAUGUGUAGGAUAGGUGGGAGGCUUUGAAGUGUGGACGCCAGUCUGCAUGGAGCCGACCUUGAAAUACCACCCUUUAAUGUUUGAUGUUCUAACGUUGACCCGUAAUCCGGGUUGCGGACAGUGUCUGGUGGGUAGUUUGACUGGGGCGGUCUCCUCCUAAAGAGUAACGGAGGAGCACGAAGGUUGGCUAAUCCUGGUCGGACAUCAGGAGGUUAGUGCAAUGGCAUAAGCCAGCUUGACUGCGAGCGUGACGGCGCGAGCAGGUGCGAAAGCAGGUCAUAGUGAUCCGGUGGUUCUGAAUGGAAGGGCCAUCGCUCAACGGAUAAAAGGUACUCCGGGGAUAACAGGCUGAUACCGCCCAAGAGUUCAUAUCGACGGCGGUGUUUGGCACCUCGAUGUCGGCUCAUCACAUCCUGGGGCUGAAGUAGGUCCCAAGGGUAUGGCUGUUCGCCAUUUAAAGUGGUACGCGAGCUGGGUUUAGAACGUCGUGAGACAGUUCGGUCCCUAUCUGCCGUGGGCGCUGGAGAACUGAGGGGGGCUGCUCCUAGUACGAGAGGACCGGAGUGGACGCAUCACUGGUGUUCGGGUUGUCAUGCCAAUGGCACUGCCCGGUAGCUAAAUGCGGAAGAGAUAAGUGCUGAAAGCAUCUAAGCACGAAACUUGCCCCGAGAUGAGUUCUCCCUGACUCCUUGAGAGUCCUGAAGGAACGUUGAAGACGACGACGUUGAUAGGCCGGGUGUGUAAGCGCAGCGAUGCGUUGAGCUAACCGGUACUAAUGAACCGUGAGGCUUAACCUU